UGCAUGCCUGCAGGUCUCUGGUUGAUCCUGCCGGACCCGACUGCUAUCAGAGUGGGACUAAGCCAUGCGAGUCAACGUAGCAAUGCGUGGCGAACGGCUCAGUAACACGUAGUCAACAUGCCCAGGGGACGUGGAUAACCUCGGGAAACUGAGAUUAAACCGCGAUAGGUCAAGAUUUCUGGAAUGGAUCGUGUCUUAAAUCUACAUGGCCCCUGGAUUGGACUGCGGCCGAUCAGGCUGUUGGUGAGGUAAUGGCCCACCAAACCUAUAACCGGUACGGGCUCUGAGAGGAGAAGCCCGGAGAUGGGCACUGAGACAAGGGCCCAGGCCCUAUGGGGCGCAGCAGGCGCGAAACCUCUGCAAUGGGCGAAAGCCUGACAGGGUUACUCUGAGUGAUUUCCGCUAAGGAGAUCUUUUGGCAGCUCUAAAAAUGGUGCAGAAUAAGGGGUGGGCAAGUCUGGUGUCAGCCGCCGCGGUAAUACCAGCACCCCGAGUGGUCGGGACGAUUAUUGGGCCUAAAGCAUCCGUAGCCGGUUGUGCAAGUCCUCCGUUAAAUCCAGCCGCUCAACGGAUGGGCUGCGGAGGAUACUACAGAACUAGGAGGCGGGAGAGGCAAGCGGUACUUAGUGGGUAGGGGUAAAAUCCUUUGAACCAUUGAAGACCACCAGUGGCGAAGGCGGCUUGCCAGAACGCGCUCGACGGUGAGGGAUGAAAGCUGGGGGAGCAAACCGGAUUAGAUACCCGGGUAGUCCCAGCUGUAAACGAUGCAGACUCGGUGAUGGGCUAGCCUCGUGUCAGCCCAGUGCCGCAGGGAAGCCGUUAAGUCUGCCGCCUGGGGAGUACGGUCGCAAGACUGAAACUUAAAGGAAUUGGCGGGGGAGCACCACAAGGGGUGAAGCCUGCGGUUUCAUUGGACUNCACGCCCGGGACUCUAGAGA
rnacentral:rRNA from 1 species